rnacentral:rRNA from 1 species
UACGUAGGGAGCAAGCGUUGUCCGGAAUCAUUGGGCGUAAAGCGCGCGUAGGUGGCCUCAUAAGUCCGCUGUGAAAGUCAAAGGCUCAACCUUUGAAAGCCGGUGGAUACUGUGGGGCUAGAGUACGGAAGAGGCGAGUGGAAUUCCUGGUGUAGCGGUGGAAUGCGCAGAUAUCAGGAGGAACACCAAUGGCGAAGGCAGCACUCUGGGACGUGACUGACGCUGGGACGCGAAAGCGUGGGGAGCAAACAGG